UUAUAUCGAAAUUUUGAUAUAUGAAAUAAAAAAUGAAAAUACACGUAUUCUUUAGAAUUUGACAAGGAAUGCAACGAUGUUAUUACAGAGCGUUUCAUAACGAACACCCUGUAUAUACACGGAGAUUGGCUAUAUCAUUAUAUAUUCUCGGCGCCGGCCACGAAAUCCAAUAGUUACUUUGAAGUUGUCGUUUAGACAUGAACAAUCCGGACGACACUCCCGUUGUCGAUAUCUAUCCUCCAUGAGCGAGAUGAAAUGGUUUGCUGCUCAGGAGAAAUGGUAGGAAGCAAAGCAAGUAGAGGAGAAAGAUGCUAUGAAAAAGUAAUGUUACGCAGUUGAAAACUUCCAGAUUCAGGCUCAAAUUCCUCACAUUAUUUAUAAGUUAAUAAAUGAUGUAUGAACAUGGAAC